UAUAUAUAUAUAUAUAUAUAUAUACAUAUAUACAUUAAUCAAUUAAUCGUAAACCAAGUCUUCCAACGAUGUCUUCCAGAAUGACGAAUAAUUGUAUAUCAUACAAUAUACUUUGUUCAUAAUAAUAAUAAUAAUAAUAAUAAUAAUAAUAAAAUGAGCCCUGUAAACGUAUAUAAAAAGUAGUUUGAUAUGAAAAAUGCAAUCGUACUUCACUGAGCAAUUUCACUACGCGUCUAUAAAAAAUACGUUGGCCUGAAUACGAAAUAAAAUUGGGUAGAAAAUAAAGUAUUAUACAUUAUACCGCAUUACGUGUCGGUUGUUUAUAGAUCGCCCGGUGGAAUUAAAAUAUAUGACAAUUCAAACCCGUGAAUGUAACAAUCUGCAUAAUGAAUUUGAUUAUAAGAUUUUACUACGUACAAAAAAAUAAAAAAUAAACAACAGCUUAAAAUUUAUACCCAAUAAAAUUAAAUCGAAAAAUGUUUUAAAGAAUGUAAAAAAUCAAAGUCAUACCAUUCUUUUAUUCACUUCCGAAAUUAAAAUUUUUAAGCCAAACGGAAAACGGAACAAGGAAUUUUGAAUUUUCGUGAAAAUCAAGAAAAAUUUUGAUUCACAUCGCUUCGUUUCUUGUUUCAAAUUUGAGCCUAAAGUAAAAUGUUACGAUAGAUAGCGGAUCGGGUGUUUUUAUAAUUGAAAUUUUUUCUUUUGAGUUUACAACGCGUAAUUUAAUUUGCUCUCUGAAAUAUCGAUUGGUCAAUACUACCGUAUCAUGUACGUAUCUAAGUGUAAAAUAUGAUAAGAUUUAAAAACUGAGAAAAAGAAUAUAUUGAGAUGAUUAUUAAUAAUGUAACAAAAAAGUUACAUUUCAAAACGUAAGCGAUUAGAAAAUUAAUCAAACGAAAUAUUUUAUUUAUAGGUUCGAUCAACUUUCAUAGGUGAAAUUUAUUGUAGACAUCAUUCCAUGACGGUCUAUCCUCUGGACUCGAUCGGUCAAAAAAUGGACUUGGUUUUUUGUUUACACCGGUACUAUUAUUCUUUCUCUUUCUUUUUACUAUCAUUUGAACGUACCACAAAAUCCCGCUGCGUUUUGAAAUGAAAUUCAUAAACGUUAUAGCUACAUAGUUAUAUAAAAAAUUAUGGUGUAAAGGGCUUCCAUAUUACAAAAAAUAUACGAAUGAAAUUUUAUUGUGCGGAUUUGAACAACUUUAUUGAAUCAUAUAACGUAUACUGUAUACAAUUAUAUGUAUACACUUUUAUUGUUCAAAGUAGCAAACCUAAGCAUACAAAUUAUAUGUGCGUUGAUAUUAAUUUUUAAAACAUCGACAAUAACGAACAGUAUACAUGACACAUGAUAUAUAGUAAGAUGUUAGCUCCCGCUGUUAUAUAAUGUCUUUAUCGAAACAGUCAAUAUGUAACAUGUAUAUGUGCAGUGUAUCACGCGCAAAUUAUCGAUACUUGUGUAAAUGAGUAUUAUUAUAAGUCUAGAUAAAUGAAUCACGCAUCUAUAUGUGAAGAAAAAAAUUAUACAAUAUGUGUGCGUAUGCAGGUGAUACUUGACUACAUUUUAAUGUGUUUCAUCCCGAAAUCAUAGACAAGCAUUUGAAUUGUACAAUGCGAUUUAUUACAGUUAAAUUAUAAACCUGACGCAAUUGAAAUACCGUAUUGCAUCGAUUGAACUUUAAUAUUCAGCAUGUUUCUUCAGAAUUGAAUUAUGAGAAGCUUGUUGUUCGAUGGUAUUUAUUUGCGCACCUAAUAGUUGCUCUGUCUCAGAAGAAAAUAAGUAUGGCCAAUGAAGCGGUUAAGUGAUAAACUUAGUCAGCUAGGCAGACAAAAGGUUCACACCUUUCUCCAUACACGGUAAAAACAUGGAAAUUUUGAUUUUAGUCACAACUCGAAUGCUGCACGAAUCAUUAGAAGGAUGUAUGUGUAACCAUUUCAGUGGUAAUGAAAAAAAAAAAAAAACUUUCACUUGAGCGAGAAUAAACACCAAAUGAAAGAAAAGUCGGUAUUUUUUCACAGUUAGACAUUUACGAAUAAACAGUAAGUGAGGUAUUUCGUAGAAAUCAGUCAUGCUCCAGAAACGAUAGACAGUUCUAUAAAACACGUUUAAGCGGCGAAUUAUUCAGUUCACCGAAUACUGUCAGGAUGAAACUACUACAGAAUAUGAUAUACGUAUUGCUGUUAUGCAGCAGUUUCGCUGCCUUCUCUGUAGUGGCGAGAAAAUCAGGCGAUGGUGAAAGAGAGAAAACAGACAUUUCUCGAGUAAAAAUCAAAGUGUUUCGAGGACCAAAUCAAGAAGAGAUGGGUAAAAAAUUCGCUUCGUGGGGAUUUUGGGUGAAGCAGCCUAGUGGCAAUUAGAAAAAAGGGCUGAGCAUUUCCAUUAAUUCCUUGUAGUACGUUUAAAAUAGGUAUUACAGAUUAUAUUUUUCUUAUAUCUGUUACCGUUGACAUUGUACUACAUUGUUUCAAAGUUUUUAAAAUAUAGAAUAAAAUUAUCAGUUUUAAUAAUA